ACAAUUCAUGCACACACAAAUUGGUCUUCCUUUUCAUUUUAGUUUGAUAUUUUAACAUUGUAAUCCUGACCUGGCUUGCUGAUCCAGAUCCUUACAAUUAAUUAUCGUUCUGUGCUUUUGAUCCUUCCACAGACAUAUACCUAACAGUUGUUUUGAUUGAUUGGCAGAAUGGAAUGCAUUCUCUUUGUCCAGAUGUAUGGUCUGAGCAUAGAAGGUGGCUGUUGAUGUCAAUGAUCUGUCUCAAUCCGUUAGCGUGUUGUCAAUGAAGAUGAAGGAAUGCCAGGCAGAAGUAGAUUGGGCAGGAAGGGGAAAUUUUGGUUUUAAAUAAUUGUGUCCCUUUCUACCUUAGGGAGCUUUGGUGUUUGUGAUGCUGACGAGGAGUCCUUUGAUGAAAAGUAUAAGAAGCUUCGCUGUGACAUUGCCCUGCUUCCUCAUAAUAGCAACAAUUAUCUGUUGAUAAGAAUUACUUGAUAUGUCAAUUUUUGGAAAUUUUGAAUUUGAAAACUUUGAAUAUACUCAGAGCUAUGUACUCAUUAUGAUUUGGUAAUAGAGUGUCUUUGAUUUGUGGAUGUCAAA